rnacentral:rRNA from 1 species
AUACGGAGGGUGCAAGCGUUAUCCGGAAUCAUUGGGUUUAAAGGGUCCGUAGGCGGACUAUUAAGUCAGAGGUGAAAUCCCACAGCUCGACUGUGGAACUGCCUUUGAUACUGGUAGUCUUGAGUUAUAUGGAAGUAGAUAGAAUGUGUAGUGUAGCGGUGAAAUGCAUAGAUAUUACACAGAAUACCGAUUGCGAAGGCAGUCUACUACGUAUAUACUGACGCUCAGGGACGAAAGCGUGGGGAGCGAACAGGAUUAGAUACCCUGGUAGUCC